rnacentral:rRNA from 1 species
GACGAACGCUGGCGGCGUGCUUAACACAUGCAAGUCGAACGGAAAGGCCCUGCUUUUGUGGGGUGCUCGAGUGGCGAACGGGUGAGUAACACGUGAGUAACCUGCCCUUGACUUUGGGAUAACUUCAGGAAACUGGGGCUAAUACCGGAUAGGAGCUCCUGCUGCAUGGUGGGGGUUGGAAAUUUUCGGCGGUUGGGGAUGGACUCGCGGCUUAUCAGCUUGUUGGUGGGGUAGUGGCUUACCAAGGCUUUGACGGGUAGCCGGCCUGAGAGGGUGACCGGCCACAUGGGUACUGAGAGACGGCCCAGACUCCUACGGGAGGCAGCAGUGGGGAAUAUUGCACAAUGGGCGGAAGCCUGAUGCAGCAACGCCGCGUGCGGGAUGACGGCCUUCGGGUUGUAAACCGCUUUCGCCUGUGACGAAGCGUGAGUGACGGUAAUGGGUAAAGAAGCACCGGCUAACUACGUG